UACGAAGGGGGCUAGCGUUGCUCGGAAUCACUGGGCGUAAAGCGCACGUAGGCGGCUUCUUAAGUCAGGGGUGAAAUCCUGGAGCUCAACUCCAGAACUGCCUUUGAUACUGAGAAGCUUGAGUCCGGGAGAGGUGAGUGGAACUGCGAGUGUAGAGGUGAAAUUCGUAGAUAUUCGCAAGAACACCAGUGGCGAAGGCGGCUCACUGGCCCGGUACUGACGCUGAGGUGCGAAAGCGUGGGGAGCAAAC
rnacentral:rRNA from 1 species